CCAUCCUGUAAUUUCCUUAUCAGUAUCCGUCUUGCAUGUUUUGACGGCCGAUACUGCUGAGCCAUAAAUAAAUGACACGACAAGGAAAACGCGCAGAAAUAAAGAAAAUAUGCCCAACAUAAUUGCACAGACCAGCAGCCUAAAAAUGCGAGGUAUUUCUCUCUUUUAUGUAGUCCAUAUCGAAGGAAGAUGGCUGUAAACUCAUCAGAAUAACAAUACAACUCAUUUAUCUACGUUUAAGUGUAUUGUAUUUUUGCCAAAUCCACCAAUAGCAAUUUCCAAAGAUUUCAAAUUCCCCCUAUUGUUCGAGUCACGCCGAGGUAACUCGGUGCCAAAAACAUAUCUUGUUAAUAUUUAGAAUAUCUGAAAUUGUUCCUCCAUAAUCUGUGAUUCUCCGACGAAUUUCCUGCUUUGUUUUAUAAGGAAAGUGUUUGCAAGUAAGGUCUACAGUAAACUGGCAGUCUUUGAGAAACAACACCAUGAUAAACUGGUGCAAC